CUGUAGGGUGCGUCUAAACACUGCUAAGGAGUCCUUAGUGCACUAAGGACUUAUAACAUGCCACUAAGGACUAGAUGGAGAGCUGUUACAUGUAAUUUCUUUUCAUAUUAUGGUAGAGAAUGAUAUUUAAUGCAUAAAUUUCAAUUUUUGUAGAAAAUAAAUCAUAGAUAAAUAAGAUAUUCAACAUUAUUUAGACACGUGCCUGUAUUUCUUUGAUGUGCCGAAAAUCAAUGAACCGUUUGACACGUGUCUAAUUACAUAACUGAUUACACGGGGAAUCAUGCUAUUUGUUGUGUUUAAUGGACAAGAUUGGUAAAGUUGGAUAAUAAUAAAUGAAUUGUUGUUGAAAUACUAUUAAGGUGUUUUUAUUUCAGAAUGAAGAAGGUUUUUUU
rnacentral:lncRNA from 1 species